rnacentral:rRNA from 1 species
AUUGAACGCUGGCGGCGUGCUUAACACAUGCAAGUCGAUCGGUAACAGGUGUAGCAAUACAUGCUGACGAGAGGCGGACGGGUGAGGAAUAUUUGGGAAUCUGCCCAUCAGCGGGGGACAACCCGGGGAAACUCGGGCUAAUACCGCAUACGCUCUACGGAGGAAAGCCGGGGACCGCAAGGCCUGGCACUGAUGGAUGAGCCCAAAUCGGAUUAGCUAGUUGGCGGGGUAACGGCCGACCAAGGCGACGAUCCGUAGCUGGUCUGAGAGGAUGAUCAGCCACACUGGGACUGAGACACGGCCCAGACUCCUACGGGAGGCAGCAGUGGGGAAUAUUGGACAAUGGGGGAAACCCUGAUCCAGCGACGCCGCGUGGGUGAAGAAGGCCUGCGGGUUGUAAAGCCCUUUCGGUAGGGACGAAAGCUCUCGACCUAACACGUCGGGAGGUUGACUUAACCUACAAAAGGAGCACCGGCUAACUCUGUGCCAGCCGCCGCCGUAAUAC